AGGUUACCUCCAUCUUUUGCCAGUUUAUUACACUACUACAUGGACUCACUAGUACACAGAAUUUCACAUCGACUUCCUUCCUCCUCACCAUCCAGCAGUAAAAUAUGCAGACGUCUCAGUUCCUGUUUGAAACAAGCUGCUUUACCGAGAAAGGAGAUGUGAUGUGAGACGUUUGUGACCUGUCUUGGUUCAAUCCUCUGUACCUGAAGCAUGGGGCAGCUACUGCUGCAAGGAUUGCUGUGGGCUGUGAUUUUCCUGGGCUCAUCUGUCCCUAAUAUCGAGUCCUCAGAGUACAACCCAUUUCCUGGCAUCACCGAUAAGAAGUUCAUCAACGACUGCGUGAGGAUACACAACGCCAACCGAUCCUCUGUGAAUCCACCGGCCAGAAAUAUGCUCUACAUGACGUGGGAUGAGGGCUUGGCCAUCACUGCAAGGGCCUGGGCAAGACACUGUGAUUUCCAGCACAACAUCUACCUGAAAGAGGUCAGACGAGUCCACCCUGUCUUCUCCUCUGUGGGAGAGAACAUCUGGGCAGGAUACCCGCCCUCCACGUUCUCCGUCAUGCGGGCCAUGGAUUUAUGGGUCAAAGAAGUGAACGAUUACUCAUACCAAAGCAAUGCGUGUAGACCAGGGAAAAUGUGUGGCCACUACACACAGGUUGUUUGGGCGACGAGCUACAAGGUUGGUUGCGCCGUCCAAAUAUGCCCAAAUGGCGUCGACAGGACUUCGUUUUCUGAUAAAGAGGGAGCCAUAUUUGUUUGUAACUAUGCCGAAGCGGGAAACGUGGUUGAGAUGCUACCAUACCAGAACGGGUUGGAAGAAUGCAGCUCUUGUGAGGGUGCAAACAAUCAAUGCCAGGCCAAGCUCUGCCGUGAGUCUGUCAGCUACCAUUUCCCACAACCAAUAAAAUAACAAGAUGCAGGACAACCCUGUGAUGACGAUCCAAAACGAGAUGAACAGAAAAGUUACAGAUGGACCCCCGACUGGGACCCCACCCUGGCCACCUGUGGCCCCUGCUGCAUGGCCAUAUUGGCCAUCCGACCCCUGGCCCUUCUCCUCACCUUUGUCGCCGCAUUUGGAGUACACAGACUGUACCCAAGCAUAUUUUUUUACGAAUAGCUGAGAGGUUUAGAUAGAUUGAACUGCACUGUUCUCAUUGUUGUCAUGCCUUUCUCAAUGUGGUCCUGUCUUUUUAAAAUUCCCGCAGAGCCUCAAACCAAACUCCCAUUGUGGUACAAUAAAGUGAACUACUACUAAAAUGCA